AAGUCGUAACAAGGUUUCCGUAGGUGAACCUGCGGAAGGAUCAUUAACGAGUUUGAAGUGGGUUUGAUGCUGGCCUGGUAAUACAGGCAUGUGCUCGCCCCGCUCAUCCACUCAACACCUGUGCACCUUCGAGGCAUUGCCCUCCACGCAAGUGGAGCCGUUCCCUUUUGAUCUUUUUUGAUCGAAGGGUUGAGCCGGGGCUUUGCUCUCGCUUUAACAUACACCACUAAAAGUUCAGUAGAAUGUAACCGCCGUCAUGGCAAAAAAUUAAUACAACUUUCAACAACGGAUCUCUUGGCU
rnacentral:misc_RNA from 1 species